CUUUCAGGAUUUUUUUAUCUCUUUAGUUUGUUCUUUCCAAGUAGAAUACGCAUAUAUUACACUUCUCUUAACAAAAUAAUUGUUAAUGCGAAAACAUAUAAACAAUAAACUUGUGACAGAUACAAAGAUUUUGUCAUUGGGAGGACAAAGUAGAUACUUUAUGUUGAUUGGAUUUUUAAAACGAAAUUAUGAAUUCUGCUCGUAAAUUUCUUUACUAUCGUUGUCUUAUUUUCUAAGUAAAGAAGUUACAUAACCAAACUUCCUAUAACUCGAAGUAGAUUAGUAAAUUCAACCACCUUAAGUUUCCUUUUUUUUUAAAAGAAAAUUUAUUAUUUUUUAUUUAGACUUCAACAAUUCUUUGGCUAUAGAUUUGUUCGUUUAUUUUUUAAAUCUCAAUUAGGAAAUGC